rnacentral:rRNA from 1 species
CCAUACGACCGUACCGCAAACCGACACUGGUGCGCGAGAUGAGUAUUCUAAGGCGCUUGAGAGAACUCAGGAGAAGGAACUCGGCAAAUUGACACCGUAACUUCGGAAGAAGGUGUGCCCUAUUAGUGUGUAGUGAACAACGAAGCAUGAAUGGGUUGCAAAAAAUCGGUGGCUGCGACUGUUUAUUAAAAACACAGCACUCUGCAAACACGAAAGUGGACGUAUAGGGUGUGACGCCUGCCCGGUGCUGGAAGAUUAAAUGAUGGGGUGCAAGCUCUUGAUUGAAGUCCCAGUAAACGGCGGCCGUAACGAUAACGGUCCUAAGGUAGCGAAAUUCCUUGUCGGGUAAGUUCCGACCUGCACGAAUGGCGUAACGAUGGCCACACUGUCUCCUCCUGAGACUCAGCGAAGUUGAAAUGUUUGUGAUGAUGCAAUCUCCCCGCGGAAAGACGGAAAGACCCCAUGAACCUUUACUGUAGCUUUGUAUUGGACUUUGAACAGAUCUGUGUAGGAUAGGUGGGAGGCUUUGAAGCAGGGUCGCUAGAUCUUGUGGAGCCAACGUUGAAAUACCACCCUGGUGUGUUUGAGGUUCUAACCUAGGUCCAUUAUCUGGAUCGGGGACAGUGCAUGGUAGGCAGUUUGACUGGGGCGGUCUCCUCCCAAAGCGUAACGGAGGAGUUCGAAGGUACGCUAGUUACGGUCGGACAUCGUGACGAUAGUGCAAUGGCAUAAGCGUGCUUAACUGCGAGACUGACAAGUCGAGCAGAUGCGAAAGCAGGACAUAGUGAUCCGGUGGUUCUGUAUGGAAGGGCCAUCGCUCAACGGAUAAAAGGUACUCUGGGGAUAACAGGCUGAUACCGCCCAAGAGUUCAUAUCGACGGCGGUGUUUGGCACCUCGAUGUCGGCUCAUCUCAUCCUGGGGCUGUAGCCGGUCCCAAGGGUAUGGCUGUUCGCCAUUUAAAGAGGUACGUGAGCUGGGUUUAAAACGUCGUGAGACAGUUUGGUCCCUAUCUUCCGUGGGCGCUGCAGAUUUGAGGAAGCCUGCUCCUAGUACGAGAGGACCGGAGUGGACACACCUCUGGUGUAUCGGUUGUCACGCCAGUGGCAUUGCCGAGUAGCUAAGUGUGGAAGAGAUAACCGCUGAAAGCAUCUAAGCGGGAAACUCGUUUCAAGAUGAGAUCUGCCGGGGCCUUGAGCCCCCUAAAGAGUCGUUCAAGACCAGGACGUUGAUAGGUCAGGUGUGGAAGC